AUUGAACGCUGGCGGCAGGCCUAACACAUGCAAGUCGAGCGGAUGAAGGGAGCUUGCUCCUGGAUUCAGCGGCGGACGGGUGAGUAAUGCCUAGGAAUCUGCCUGGUCGUGGGGGAUAACGUCCGGAAACGGGCGCUAAUACCGCAUACGUCCUGAGGGAGAAAGGGGGGGAUCUUCGGACCUCACGCUAUCAGAUGAGCCUAGGUCGGAUUAGCUAGUUGGUGGGGUAAAGGCCUACCAAGGCGACGAUCCGUAACUGGUCUGAGAGGAUGAUCAGUCACACUGGAACUGAGACACGGUCCAGACUCCUACGGGAGGCAGCAGUAGGGAAUAUUGGACAAUGGGCGAAAGCCUGAUCCAGCCAUGCCGCGUGUGUGAAGAAGGUCUUCGGAUUGUAAAGCACUUUAAGUUGGGAGGAAGAGCAGUAAGUUAAUACCUUGCUGUUUUGACGUUACCAGCAGAAUAAGCACCGGCUAACCUCGUG
rnacentral:rRNA from 1 species